UACGGGGGGAGCAAGCGUUGUUCGGAUUUACUGGGCGUAAAGGGCGCGUAGGCGGUCAGCACAAGUCAGUUGUGAAAUCUCCGGGCUUAACUCGGAAAGGUCAACUGAUACUGUGCGACUAGAGUGCAGAAGGGGCAACUGGAAUUCUCGGUGUAGCGGUGAAAUGCGUAGAUAUUACCAGGAACACCAAUGGCGAAGGCAGCUUGCUGGGCUUCUUCUGACACUGAGGUACGAAAGCGUGGGGAGCGAACAGG
rnacentral:rRNA from 1 species